rnacentral:rRNA from 1 species
GACCUGCGGAGGAUCAUUAUGAAAUUGGCUGUCGGCCACUCGGAGAGCCCACCGGACUGUCCUAGAGUGCUUAGCCGUCGCCCCCUCCCUUGAUUAUGCGCACCUUUUGUUGUUUCCUCGGCAGGUUUCCUGCCGCUGGAACCCCACAAACCUUUUGUAUUAAGCAUUAAAAUUCUGAAAACCAUGUAAUUACUUACAACUUUCAACAAUGGAUCUCUUGGUUCUGGCAUCGAUGAAGAACGCAGCGAAAUGCGAUAAGUAGUGUGAAUUGCAGAAUUCAGUGAAUCAUCGAAUCUUUGAACGCACAUUGCGCCCCUUGGUACUCCAUGGGGCAUGCCUGUUCGAGCGUCAUCUAAACCCUCAAGCCUCUUGGGUGUUGUCCCGCCUUUGCGCGGUACUCCGCCCGGUUUGGUGUUGGGCGUCUGUCCCGCUGCGCGCGUGGACUCGCCUCAAAUCCAUUGGCAGCGGCCCUUCAGCUUCUUGCGCAGCACAAUGCGUCUCGGGGCGUAGCAAGGGCACGCAUCCACUAAGCAACCCACAGUUUGACCUCGGAUCAGGUAGGGAUACCCGCUGAACUUA